CGGAGGUGCAAGCGUUAUCCGGAUUUACUGGGUUAAAGGGUGCGUAGGUGGUCUGUAGUCAGUGGUGAAUCUCCGAGCUUAACUCGGAAACUGCCAUUGAUACUAUAGGUCUUGAAUUAUCUGGAGGUAAGCGGAAUAUGUCAUGUAGCGGUAGAAAUGCUUAGAUAUGGACAUAGGAACACCAAUUGCCGAAGGCAGCUUACUACGGAUCGAUUGACACUGAGGCACGAAAGACGUGGGAUCAAACAGGAUU
rnacentral:rRNA from 1 species